rnacentral:rRNA from 1 species
AUAGUGGGGGAGUAGCCUUUCGAAAAGAAAGAAUUAAUACCGCAUAAGAUUGUAGUAUCGCAUGAUAUAGCAAUUAAAGGAGCAAUUCGCUAUAAGAUGGACCCGCGUCGCAUUAGCUAGUUGGUGAGGUAAUGGCUCACCAAGGCGACGAUGCGUAGCCGACCUGAGAGGGUGAUCGGCCACAUUGGGACUGAGACACGGCCCAGACUCCUACGGGAGGCAGCAUG